rnacentral:rRNA from 1 species
UCAGCAGCCGCGGUAAUACGGAGGGUGCAAGCGUUAAUCGGAAUUACUGGGCGUAAAGCGUGCGUAGGCGGUUCGUUAAGUCAGAUGUGAAAGCCCCGGGCUCAACCUGGGAACUGCAUUUGAAACUGGCGGACUUGAGUUGAGUAGAGGGGAGUGGAAUUUCAGGUGUAGCGGUGAAAUGCGUAGAUAUCUGAAGGAACACCAGUGGCGAAGGCGACUCCCUGGACUCAAACUGACGCUGAGGUACGAAAGCGUGGGUAGCAAACAGGAUUAGAUACCCUGGUAGUCCACGCCGUAAACGAUGUCAACUAGCCGUUGGCCCUCUUUACAGGGUUAGUGGCGCAGCUAACGCAAUAAGUUGACCGCCUGGGGAGUACGGCCGCAAGGUUAAAACUCAAAUGAAUUGACGGGGGCCCGCACA